GAACGCAUCUUGCGCUCCUUGGCUAUUCCGAAGGGCAUGCCUGUUUGAGUAUCAUGAGCACCUCAACUCUCGUGGCUUUGCCCAUGAUGAGCUUGGACUUUGGGGGUCUUUGCUGGCUUACGGUCGGCUCCUCUCAAACGAAUCAGCUUGCCAGUGUUUGGCGGCAUCACAGGUGUGAUAACUAUCUGCGCUUGUGGUUUCCCGCUAGAUAACCUUCAGUGAUGGAGGUUCGCUGGAGCUCAUAAAUGUCUCUCCUCAGCGAGGACAGCACUUUGACUGUUUGAUCUCAAAUCAGGUAGGACUACCCGCUGAACUUA
rnacentral:misc_RNA from 1 species